GACGAACGCUGGCGGCGUGCCUAAUACAUGCAAGUAGAACGCAGUUGCGAACGGGUGAGUAACGCGUAGGUAACUGCCUCAUAGCGGGGGAUAACUAUUGGAAACGAUAGCUAAUACCGCAUACUGUGCGAUGGACCUGCGUUGUAUUAGCUAGUUGGUGAGGUAAAGGCUCACCAAGGCGACGAUACAAAGCCGACCUGAGAGGGUCAUCCACCAAACUGAGACUGAGACACGAUCCAGAGUCCUACGGGAGGCAGCAGUAGCGACUCGUCGGCAAUGGUCGAAAGUCUGACCGAGCAAAGCGGAGUGAAUAAAGCAGGUAUUCGGAUCGUAAAGCUCUGUAGUAUGAAAAGCGAUAGGUACCGAAAAAGGGACGGCAAACUACGUGCCAGCAGCCGCGGUAAUAC
rnacentral:rRNA from 1 species